UACGUAGGGGCGAGCGUUGUCCGGAAUCAUUGGGCGUAAAGAGCGUGUAGGCGGCUUGGCAAGUCUGACGUGAAAGCCCGCGGCUCAACCGCGGAUUGUCGUUGGAAACUGCCUCGCUAGAGUCCGGAAGAGGAGAGCGGAAUUCCUGGUGUAGCGGUGAAAUGCGUAGAUAUCGUAAGGAAGACCAGUGGACGAAGGCGGGUCUCUGGACAGUUCCUGACGCUGAGGCACGAAGGCCGGGGAGCAAAGCGGG
rnacentral:rRNA from 1 species